rnacentral:rRNA from 1 species
UACAGAGGCCCCAAGCGUUACUGAGAAUCACUGGGUUUAAAGGGUGCGUAGGUGGCGCGUUAAGUCCGUUGUGAAAUCCCUGGGCUCAACCCAGGAAAUGCUUCGGAUACUGGCGUGCUUGAGGCCGGUAGGGGUCACUGGAACUGACGGUGGAGCGGUGAAAUGCGUAGAUAUCGUCAGGAACGCCAAUGGUGAAGACAGGUGACUGGGCCGGAUCUGACACUGAGGCACGAAAGCGUGGGGAGCAAACAGG